rnacentral:rRNA from 1 species
AUUGAACGCUGGCGGCAGGCCUAACACAUGCAAGUCGAGCGGAUGAAGGGAGCUUGCUCCUGGAUUCAGCGGCGGACGGGUGAGUAAUGCCUAGGAAUCUGCCUGGUAGUGGGGGAUAACGUCCGGAAACGGGCGCUAAUACCGCAUACGUCCUGAGGGAGAAAGUGGGGGAUCUUCGGACCUCACGCUAUCAGAUGAGCCUAGGUCGGAUUAGCUAGUUGGUGGGGUAAAGGCCUACCAAGGCGACGAUCCGUAACUGGUCUGAGAGGAUGAUCAGUCACACUGGAACUGAGACACCGUCCAGACUCCUACGGGAGGCAGCAGUGGGGAAUAUUGGACAAUGGGCGAAAGCCUGAUCCAGCCAUGCCGCGUGUGUGAAGAAGGUCUUCGGAUUGUAAAGCACUUUAAGUUGGGAGGAAGGGCAGUAAGUUAAUACCUUGCUGUUUUGACGUUACCAACAGAAUAAGCACCGGCUAACUUCGU